rnacentral:lncRNA from 1 species
UAUUUGAGUGCAUGAUCGAAUGAUGAUAAGCUUACCAUAUAUUCAAACAAUGUAUAAGAAUGUUUUUUUAUAGAAAAAUAGGUAGAGAAAUCUUGUCGUGGAUAUUUUCUAAUUCUUGGUUUUUGGUUGGCCGAUCCAAGAUAGGUUUGAUUUGAGAAGGAAGUGGUGUAAUUCCAUCUCAUCCGACUCCGACACAACCGGUUUUAUAGAGCUUUUUGGAUCAAAAUAGAGCUUUUAUCUUAGAAUUUUGCUUGUUACAAAAAAAAAUAAAAAAGAAAAAAAAUCUCGAAUUUUGCUAAAAUAUUUAUAGAAAAUGUAAAAUAUUAUGGAUAUCAAUAGGCCCAAUAAUUCAAAUUAAGAGAACUAAAUUCAAAUAAGCCCAAUUAUGAGUCCAAAACAGCAUAGCUUAGGAAGCAAUGAAUAUGAUGCCCAAC